ACACUUUAAUCAACAUCAACAAAUUCCAUGCCUUAUUUUUCAAUCUUCAGUGUACACAGACCUUUAGGUGUUCACAUAAAAAUGCAUUAUUAUUAUUAUUAUUAUUAUUAUUAUUAUUAUUAUACACAUUCAGAAAAAAAGAAAGUGUGGACCAUGUGUAUAUAACAAAAGCUUAUUGCCUUUUCCAUAUUAUUAUCUUUCUAUCUCUUUCACAAACAUUCUCUAGCAAAAGAAAUGAAUCGCUUUCGCCUCUCCUCCCUUCUUCUUGCUCUUCUCAUUUUCUUCAAUCCUACGAUUCUUGGAUUUGCAAGAACACCCUUUGCUGCUUCACCUUAUGCAUCCACGAUGAACCGACAAUCUUUUCACUACUCCUCAGUUAAUAAUGGGCCCUUUGCGACCCGACCCAUUAAAGAAUUCGAAUCGCAGAAACGAAGAGUUCCUACAGGAUCGAACCCUCUGCACAACAGGAGAAGGUUAUGAAGAUUUCUUGUUUGUUUUCGGAAGAGAUCAUACGGAGACCUUCUUGUUCAGAUAACAUAUUCUCUUUUCAUUUGUUUCUCUUUUGUGUAUUGCUAUAUAUAUAUAUACAGGAGUUUUAUAGUAACUAUUGGUUAAUUAUAUGCAAAAGUUAGCAUUUAGCAUAGAUUAGAAGAUAGUUCUUAUUUUUGUAACACAUGUAUUAAUAUACUUCUAGAAUACCUAGUUCUAUUUUUCUUUUUCUUUUUCCUUUUUUAGAAAUCGUACAGAAGGAAAGAUUGAUGUGAUCAAAACUUUUCUUUUUCAUGAUAUUGAUUAUAUAUAUGACUAUUUUGUUUAAUUC
rnacentral:lncRNA from 1 species